rnacentral:misc_RNA from 1 species
AAGUCGUAACAAGGUUUCCGUAGGUGAACCUGCGGAAGGAUCAUUAACACGUAUCCAAACGUUAAAACCCCCCCCCGUGAACCUUCAUCCUGCUCUUGUAAUCCGCGUAGUUCGCAAUCUCUGAUAAAUCAUAGCCCGGAAUGUUGUAGUGAUUCAGAGACCUCUGGCUACGUGCGAACAUUGGAACAGUUACAAUCGAUGUUAACAAUGGAUAUCUUGGUUCUC